CCUACGGGCGGCAGCAGUGAGGAAUAUUGGUCAAUGGGCGGGAGCCUGAACCAGCCAAGCCGCGUGAGGGAAGAAGGUACAGCGUAUCGUAAACCUCUUUUGUCAGGGAACAAAGGCGGGGACUAGUCCCCGGAUGAGGGUACCUGAAGAAAAAGCAUCGGCUAACUCCGUGCCAGCAGCCGCGGUAAUACGGAGGAUGCGAGCGUUAUCCGGAUUUAUUGGGUUUAAAGGGUGCGCAGGCGGCCUGUUAAGUCAGCGGUAAAAGCCCGGGGCUCAACCCCGGCGAGCCGUUGAAACUGGCGGGCUGGAGUUGGAGAGAAGUACGCGGAAUGCGCGGUGUAGCGGUGAAAUGCUUAGAGAUCAUACAGAACACCGAUUGCGAAGGCAGCUUACCAAUCUAUAUCUGACGUUGAGGCACGAAAGUGUGGGGAGCAAACAGGAUUAGAUACCCCGGUAGUC
rnacentral:rRNA from 1 species